AUGCGUCCGAAGUCGUGACGGUGGUUACCAUACAGGUGAUUUUGGUUGGUCGGGUCCACUUCGUUACCCGCAUGGGUGCCAGCCAGCACCAGGAACUCAGCACAAAUGAAUUCCCACUCAUCAGAGAGUGUAAACUAGCCCGUUUCGUUUGGUAUUGUUUUUGGAAUAACAGUUUUCUAGCGCUGCUUCAUAUGCCCAGGCCUUCAAAUGUUUUGGAUGCACAUCUCGAAUCGAUCGAACUAUUAUGAUGCAUCAUGGAGGCGCCUGGUGCUUCAAUUACCUUUGCAAGGCAACAUUAUGGAAAGGAUUUUUUUUCUUUCCUUGCUUUAUUGUGCGUAAAAGUGGAUCAAAAGCAAAAUGGUUGUGCUAUACAUUUUUAAUCAUUCAGAGAAUUAUCUACUUUUGAUGUGCAGAUCGUUCCCCCCCUCUCUCCAUCUCCCUUCCUCGCUCUGCCCUUUAGCAUGGAGACUGUACUUCGGAUGAAUUUUUAAAGCGUUUCUAAAUUGAAACCUAACAAAAUCAAUCGCAUUUUUCCGUCGCAAAACUUUUCCUCGUGCGUUUUGUUCUUAUGCCGAGCACAAAAUUAUGCGAGAAAUUUCACUGCUUUCGGUAAGCAAACUUUUGAACAAGUUUACAUCGGUCUCCCGUACUAACUACUGCUGGCCGUAAUGCUAAUUGCUAAUGCUUCCAUCCCAUCAUCUCCACAGUCAAACAAAUCAUAUCAUCUGGAUGAAAUAUUUCUUCUUAAUCAACGCGAUACAGCAUCAUCAUUACGUUCCUCGUGCUUCCAAUACUGUCUGCAAGCUUCAUCUUGCAGCGCGGCCUAUAUAAGCACCGAACGACCAAAAUACCAUAUAAUGGCGAGUAUUCGAAGCAUGGUGGUGGUGUUUUGGUAUGCCUUCUGAUCCCUACACUUCGCUCCUCGGACUCUCCAUCGACCCGGUGCUAAUUGAAAACUUUCACAUUGAAUUAUUUAAAAUAUAUUCUCGGGCCGGACAGAAUGUAGACGUCACGAAGCUUGGUAACGGCAGCCAUGGGGCAUGCACGUUACCGCAUCCAUGCUGCCUCAUCCAUGGAUGGUGAAAUAUUUCUCUUCUCUCAUUCUCUCUCUCUUUGUCUCUCUCUCUCUGUCUCUCUCUCCCUCUAUUUCUCUUGCUUUCCGGCCGUUGCAUGACAAAAUGUUGACGAGAUCUCAGGCACUCAUCAAAUAAGACCAUUCCAGCCUCAGUGUCCUGUUGAGUGACGUAAAAUUCAUCCAUCUGUGUGGAGAAGCAUGCGCAUACGAACAUCCUGGGAACGAAUAUCACCAUCAAAACGAGCCGGUCGCUUUGCACGACCAACGAGCUCGGCUCAGGACUCGACCUCAUUCGGUCAUGAGCACCCUUCAGGUUUUUUCACGCGAUGCUUCCUUCCAUAAGCAGACGGAUCGGCUGAACGCUCCCGCGUUCAAGCAUUUCUGUGACAACCGUGAGAAUAUGCCUCAGCUACUAGCGUCGAUUGCUACGAGCUGUCAGUCUUAUCGCCACAAUCACGAUGACAGGAGCCAUGUGCGUAACCAAGGCUGCCUCGCGUUCGUACAAAAUACGCGCAACUGUUUCUUUCGAAAGCUUGCGUCCCAGUGUUGGCAGACAGGACAGGUUCGUCAGGUCGUUCGCGCGGGACCGUUUCAGUUUCUGGUGUGUGGUUAUGGUAAAUAUAUUGAAAUAGCUUCAAAAACUUUCUAGUUUUUUCACGUUCAAUAUGUAAAAUCAAGUAAAAAAGUGAAGUUCUGUGAUACAUUUUUAUGCUAUUCUAAACACAUGUGGAUUAUUCUUUAAAAACAACUAUUGUAAUAAUUGAUCGGUAUAAACAAUAAAGCGAGUGAGCUUCUUUCAACGAAACUAAACAAAUUGUUUCUACAUCAACGCUAGUUUACACUGCCAAACCUAUGAAGAGCGAGCAUUCUUUCGGGAGGAGAAACAGCGGCAAAAUACUACCGUAUACUAAAUUUACUCUUACCUUGCUCAAUUUUUCUCGGUACUUUUUGUAUCAGUUUCCGUGGAUGAGUGUUUCUUUGCGAAUUGUUUCAGUGUUGGAUAAAACAUAUUUACAACACUUUACACGCGGCAACUAGUGUUCAAAAAUAAUGUUAAUAACAGUGGGGAAAUAACUACAUUGUGAAAGUGAACCGGAAAAAAAUCAUGUUAGGUUCAACAGCAAGUGUAUCAACAGCAAAACAGAGCGCACAUUGUUCAUUUGUUCAUUGAUUUAAUAACUCGUACGCCGUAAAGGCUUACCGAGAGGAAUCUAAUUGUAAAACGAUAGCUGAUAAUUGCUAAAAUUUGACCCCCUGUACACUGUAACAAGAAGCGGCUAUCUAGCUAUAUUACUUAAUAAUAAGUCUCGUAAGCCUGUAUAACCUAGCAUGAGUGCUUAUUAAUCGUUAAAUAGAAGAAGAAGGCUGUGUACUGUACAUUUUAUACAUGGACUAUUACUGUGAUUCAUUAUAGAAUAUAAAAAGAUCCAGACAAACUGCAUAGCAUUAAUAUACUUCAGCAAUUUAGCUCAAAUGGACUCACGAUAAUAUUACAGCUUUAUUCGUUUGUUGACAGCAUGAAUAGGGUCAGUGUUGCUGUUGUUGGUGUUGAUGUAUUUCUAAUUACCUGGCCAGUUCAAGAUACGAGACACUUGACCUAAACGUUUCACUCUUUCUGUGACAUCCAAAUCAACAAUAUGGAAUUUUCUACGAGGCAUCUGCCCGAAUCACACCAUUCUCUCGGUACAUUUCGUACAAUACCUCGUUGACGCCGAAAGUAUCGAAUGUCAGCCUAGCAGCAGCGUAAGCAUUUGCAUGCCAGUAGGGCACCCGAGAAAAGACAAUUGAUACGUGAUUGAAAGGCUAAGUGAUAAGAGUUUGAUUUUUAAUUGAAAUUCCAACACUCGUCAAUCCAACGACAACUGCCAUUUGAUGAGCAAAGUGAAAAGCAACACGAUCCAAUGAAAGAACUGACGUAUGGGGGGGGGGGGGGCUUGAUGCAACAACAGCGACGACAUAAGUGUACUGGUGGUCAGAAGGGUAACGCUUCACGACGUGAAAGAGACCCGUGCAUUUGGCUUUUUGUGCAUUCUAGUCCAACAAGCUCCAAAUAGAUGUUCUAUGACAUGGCCUACGAACAUAAUUGUGUGCCAGUCCCGUUUGCUGACGAAUGAUAGAGAAGCACACCUACCAUGGACAGGUGGCUGAGAACGAAAGAGACCAAUAACAACGAGAAAGAACCAACCUAGAAUAAAAAAACGAGCAAGCAAAAACACCGAAGCACUCAUACAACAGCAUAUACGUUCUUGCGACCAGACAGCGUAUGGUGCUAUCAAAGCAGGUGGCUGACAUUUGAGGUGUUGCUGCUGUUGUUUGUCUGGACGGGAGUUUGACGCGUUCGAAAAUCAGUUGAACACCAGCUGAAUCAAUGCUGGGAUUCUCCUGCUGCAGGACAAUUUCCCAUGUAUCAACAGCAAGACAGAGUGCACAUUGUAAAACGAUGCAUUGCAACGAUGAAGGUUGCCAUGUGAAUGUUUUGUUUGCGUAGCAAUCUUCCCGUUCACCAGACCAUAAAGUGUUAGCCCUUAGAACAGUGCAAUUGCUUAACAGAAUCGUUUUAAUACUGUUUUAAUAUUUUUGAGAUGUUAUAUGUAACAUCAAACACAAAAUUCGAUAAAAUUUAUGGCUACCUUUAUCACUUUGAGAGGGUCCAAAAAAUAUUAGAUAAAGGAUGAUAUAGCCUCCAACGGCACUGUUCGAGAACUUGCCUAAAUUCAACCAACUUCCAUUCGAUCACUACACCAGAACAGCCUGAUCAUGGUACAGACGAGGAAAGUGUGGAAGAAAGAGCCAUAAUCACCAUCAUCAUCACCAUCACCAUCAUGAUUACCACCCUGCAACGACAACACCACCAGCUCGCCCAGUUUACUUCAGCCCCAGGCCCUGCUUACGAACUCCAUUGGAAAGAAAUACAAACCUUUUCCCCGGCUCUCGAACAGGGAUCAAAUCAUGCAGAAAGGAUUCAUAUUUCUGCUCCUACACCCUGCUUGAUUUGCCUGUCCGGUUGGCUGUUCGUUCAACGCAAGCUGUCCCCAUGGCGGCAUUUCGCACAAAAUCGGCAAACAACACAGGCGCACUCGUGGUAAAAUUGCAGAGCACUCAUCCCUGGUCUCCCACACCAGCCGUCGAUGAAUGAUGAUAAAUUUGUAAUUAAUUGAUGAAAAAUGGCAUCACCAUUCGCAUGCGAGUGUACUACGGAGAAGCACUCCAGUACCAGUGGAAAGCUCUGCAAGAACAUCAACGCAUGGGCAAAGCAAUAACGAAAAAAUAACACAGACACAUACUAUGAAAUCCAAUUCUGUGCUCUUGCCACACGGCAGAUCCACUACCAUUUGGCCGAGUUUUGUUUGUGUUAUAACUUCCCCGUCGUCAAAACGUCGUUCAACAGCGGAAGAAAGAUGAUACUAAUUUACCCGUCAUAAGCAGACAUCGUGGAACCGGGACGUGCGCCACUCAUCUACCAAGCCAGAAAAAAUGGCUAGUUGGAGAAAAAGGACAACGAAGCGAAAACACCAGCAACAGCACGAGCAACAAUGGUUUUCCAAAGAAGGCUGAGCCAACCAUGAAAAACGAGUACUUUAUGGGAGGAAAAACUUGACAGGACCAACUCUCGCGCUUCAACAACCAUCCACCAGUCGAGUCGCACCAUGAACCUUCGAAGCUGAUGCGAGAGGAUCCGUGUGAAGGAUUUCACAUCAGGAAUUCCAUUCUGAGGCAUGUCGUUGGAAUGCCUUCAUCAUUCUUCUACGUUCCAUUCAUCGUUUACACAUGGCUCGUUUGCUGCUUUUCGGACACAUGCUUUACACGCAAAAGAAACAUACACACAGAGAAAGCACACACGACAAGCACAGGGGCUUCAUCCCACUUGCGUGUAUUACAAAAAAGUCACCACCUUUUCAUUCAAAUGGUCCCUUCAGAAAAACGUGCUUCUCUUCUUUUACAUUCUUACGCAAAUAUACAAAUUUGGAUACAGCGUGUGACGUAUACCGUAAGUUUAAACGAUCUAUUGUUUUGUGUUGAUUCCUCUGCACAACACAUGCAGUGCACAACAUUAUUCGCUUUUGCUCAUUCAUUCUUUUUGUUACUUUCUUACUCAAAUUUUGCGUUGCGAGUGAUCAUUGGAACUAGCGCUUCUGACACUGAGCAGAAUUUACACAAUAGAGAAAAGCAUACGCAUGACACAAGCGCACCUCAAGUAUCUUCCAUUCUAGAGACUCUCAGGGUCAAACAAUACAGCGUUUCUAAAAGCAAACAUAGUGUGUGCAGGCAAACAUCAAAAAACAAAGAAAAAGAGAAUCCAUUUCUGAAACAUCA